rnacentral:rRNA from 1 species
UACGGGGGGGGUAAGCGUUGUUCGGAAUUACUGGGCGUAAAGGGCUCGUAGGCGGCCAACUAAGUCGGACGUGAAAUCCCUCAGCUUAACCGGGGAACUGCGUCUGAUACUGGAUGGCUUGAGUUUGGGAGAGGGGCGCGGAAUUCCAGGUGUAGCGGUGAAAUGCGUAGAUAUCUGGAGGAACACCGGUGGCGAAGGCGGCGUCCUGGACCAACACUGACGCUGAGGAGCGAAAGCCAGGGGAGCAAACGGG